UGGGGAAUAUUGCACAAUGGGGGAAACCCUGAUGCAGCGACGCCGCGUGAACGAAGAAGGUAUUCGUAUCGUAAAGUUCUGUCCUAUGGGAAGAUAAUGACAGUACCAUAGAAGAAAGCUCCGGCUAAAUACGUGCCAGCAGCCGCGGUAAUACGUAUGGAGCGAGCGUUGUCCGGAAUUAUUGGGCGUAAAGGGUACGCAGGCGGUUUAAUAAGUCGAAUGUUAAAGAUCGGGGCUCAACCCCGCAAAGUAUUGGAAACUGAUAAACUUGAGUAGUGGAGAGGAAGGUGGAAUUCCUAGUGUAGUGGUGAAAUACGUAGAUAUUAGGAGGAAUAACAGUAGCGAAGGCGACUUUCUGGACACAAACUGACGCUGAGGUACGAAAGCGUGGGGAGCAAACAGG
rnacentral:rRNA from 1 species